UUAUAAUUUUCAGCGCAAGUCUCUAUGGAGAUGCAUCUGCACGGCGCUGCUUGUCUUGUCCUGUUGCUGGUUGCUUUGUGCAAAGGUGACAUGAUGGUGAACUUGACAAAGGAAGCAGAGGAAUACAUACAUCGGGUGAAUCGAACAGGGCGGAUUGAUAGCUGGGGUUUAACCGGAAAUUAUGAAUACUGGAUACAGCAGGAACAGGAGAUAC